rnacentral:lncRNA from 1 species
GUGCUGAGUUGGGACUCUCUUCUGGGGUUUAAUGAGGCUUCACAGAGCCUGGGCCGGAGCUGACUCUCCAGGCACCUGGGCACUCUCUAUCACACUCUGUUUUUGGACAAGAGAAAGAGACUCUUUGGGGCCAUUUCACAUCUCCCUCCCCACCUUCCCCAGGUAGGACUGGGAAAGAGCCCUGUCUCCAGCCGGCAGAGAGGAUGCCUGGCCCUCCUCUGUCCAUGAACCAGCUGAAGAAGCCUUUUGCCCUCUGUGCCUGGGGAAUGCAGCCCUUUCCUGAGAGCACGGUGGGGUGUUGAUGCUGGAAGAGCCAAGCGGCCGCCACAUUUUGCUUGCAGACUCAGCCCUAAGCUCAAGGCACUGUGAACAUCCCCACUCCAGUCUGUUCUCUAAAGUUUCUGAUCUUCCUGAAGUGUCCGAACCAAGGAGGCUGAGCUCCGGCUUUUAUCCACAUCCACCCUGAUCCUGGGUUUGUCCGGACCAAUGUAAGUGUUGCCCAAUAAAACCUUCUAUGACGCUCCCCCCUGCCAUACACAUACCCAGUGUGCCCUUUCCCUCCUGCCUUUUUAGUAGCUCCGGGUAAAUAUUGAUUUGCCCCCAGUUUACCUCCUCCCUGACUUGGCCAUUUGCAGCCUAAAGAACCAGCCCCUGUAGGGACUUGAUUUUUGUGUUACUUUCCGGGCCGUUCACCCCCCUUCCUUCCUCCAAGUGGCAUUGUAAAACUCUUGAUGACAAAGAGACAGGGUAGGGUUUGAGGGCCCAGUUCCUAAGGACUUGAGGGCUGUUUUACAUACAGGUCAGACACGGCUGGAGGCCAAGGUCAAGUUGAAAGUUGCAGUCUAGCCAUGGUGAGAACUGCCCUGCAAGCCUGGAGACUCCGGCAGCUUCUAAAGGAAUACCGCCCACCUCCCCUCACUCCUGAUUCCUUUUUCCUUUAGAAUUCCUCCUGUUUCUGGUUCCGUUUAGUUACCCAGGUUUUUUUUUUUUUUUUUUUUUAAACUGNNNNNNNNNNNNNNNNNNNNNNNNNNNNNNNNNNNNNNNNNNNNNNNNNNNNNNNNNNNNNNNNNNNNNNNNNNNNNNNNNNNNNNNNNNNNNNNNNNNAACUGCCUUCUCGGAGUUUUGGGGGCAGUGUUUACAGACUCUUCUUCUCUGCCUCCGCCCUGCUCUUGGCCGGAGCUUCGUGCCUCUUCUGUCUUCUAGCCAGACCCGGAAAAACGAAAACACUGCUCUGAGAGCCCCCACCAGCUGGCGCCUGUGCCAGCUCACCUCUGGCCAUGGCAUGGCGCAGCUGCCUGCCGGUGCACACCGCGGCCAAGGCCAGCUCCACAUUCUUCCCGCACUCUCCCCAAUUCGCCGCAGACCAAGCUCUGAAUGCAGAGGAAGGGUCCCAGCUCCACAGACUGCCAAAGCCAACUGGGUCCCUCCUCACCAAAAAUGGUGAGACAAGAUUUCAUUUUUUCUGCUGAGGAGCCCCAAGCAGGUUUGUCUGGGAGGGACGGCACUGAGGGGAAGACUUUGGGUUGCAUCUUGAAUUAGGUUUUGCUACCCAAGCUUGGUGACCCCGCUAAGGAAGGGCUUCAGGCAGGCCUGAAUUAUUUAUUGCGCUUUGAGGUGGAUCUUUAGUGAUCAGGUUAUGGGGAUAUUUUCUUUUUCUAAAUAUCAACUUUUGAAAACUCUUGAGAUGUGAUUACUUACGGGGAGGCAGCCUGCCUGUUUCCUUCUUGUCUUAGAUCUCAAUCUACAUGAAGUGAUUUUUCUACCAGACAACUUAGUGAUGUCCUGGCACGCCUUCACUGUUUUUAAAAGUCUGCAGGUCCCAUUAGAUAUUGAGUUAUAUCUAGUGGAGAUGGUUUACAGAAUUUGGAUUAGCUCUGUAAAUAAUUUUGGUUUUCCAGAAUUUCUCCUUACUUUGAAGAAAACCUCUUUCUCUCCAUCUUCUUGUCCAUUGCUGAGAGAUGCAUUAUAAGUUCCCAGUAUUGUUUCUUAGCCUCUUAGUCUUCCAGGCAGCCACCAAACCAGCUUGCUGGAAGAGGAAAGGUCGGAAGGCAGUGAAGAACUGGAGAGCCUUCUGGGAAGCAAGCACAGACUCUUUCCAAUGGCAAGGUCAAGACUCUUGCCUGCCCAGCUCUUGGCCCAGACCUUCUUAACUGUCCCUCUGCUUUUUUUGCGGGGGAGGGUCUACCAGGCUCAGGAAUUCCUGUGGGAUUGCAGAGAGAUGCCUCAACUUGAAUCUUGGCAAUGACAGUUUUAUCCUCAGACCCUUUGUAGGCUAGGCUGGAAAGCCAAGGCACCCACUGGGUUCUGGAAACAGCAGAUUCAUGGCCCAUUGAGCAAGAGGGCAAGAGGGCGGUAGAGUGGAGGUGGGUUUUGCCCCGUGCUCCCUGCUUUCCUAUAGAGGGGCCCUCAGUGGGCAGCAAUGGCAAGAUCAGAGGCCAGCAGCUUUUGUUCCAGAAGUUGCCAUAUCCUUUCUCUUACCAGCCCCUUGGCAGACAUGGCUUCAGACCUUCUAGGGCAGGCUGGGGUGCCCUGAGGGGUUUUGUUGCUCUGGAGCUGAAGAAAAAUACCUUGGCUGGGUGUUAUUUUGGGGGAGGUGUGAUGGGGUGAUGGAGGGGGGGGACUCGCUNNCAGCCUGGGCCAUGAAGCCCUGGGUUCCCAGGGUUGGAAGAGAAGAGGACAAAGGGAAACCCAGGUAUUAAUCGAGUUUGAUUUUCACUAGCAAAUGAAAUUUACCUGCUCUCACUUUAACUCCGAGGAGCCUGUCAGCACUGCUCUCUGGCACUAUUUCUCUGCAUCCAUCCAGCAUUAGGAUAAACAUUCCUGGGUUGGUUUUAAAGACACUUUGUAUUUCAGGAUAUUCAUGUGUUUCCAAUGUAUCCAAGCAGCUUUACGAGCUGCAUUUGCAGAAGAUCUUAACCCUCUCUCUCCCAGAGCACAAGGGAUAGGGGCUCAGAGAUAAUGGCAAAGGAAGAAAGACCCAGAGAAGGGG